rnacentral:rRNA from 1 species
GACGAACGCUGGCGGCGUGCUUAACACAUGCAAGUCGAACGGAAAGGCCCUGCUUUUGUGGGGUGCUCGAGUGGCGAACGGGUGAGUAACACGUGAGUAACCUGCCCUUGACUUUGGGAUAACUUCAGGAAACUGGGGCUAAUACCGGAUAGGAGCUCCUGCUGCAUGGUGGGGGUUGGAAAGUUUCGGCGGUUGGGGAUGGACUCGCGGCUUAUCAGCUUGUUGGUGGGGUAGUGGCUUACCAAGGCUUUGACGGGUAGCCGGCCUGAGAGGGUGACCGGCCACAUUGGGCCUGGGAUACGGCCCAGACUCCUACGGGAGGCAGCGGUGGGGAAUAUUGCACAAUGGGCGGAGGCCUGAUGCAGCAACGCCGCGUGCGGGAUGACGGCCUUCGGGUUGUAACCCGCUUUCGCCUGUGCCGAAGCGUGAGUGACGGUAAUGGGUAAAGAAGCACCGGCUAACUACGUG